CCUACGGGAGGCAGCAGUGGGGAAUAUUGCGCAAUGGGCGAAAGCCUGAUGCAGCGACGCCGCGUGAGGGAUGAAGGUCUUCGGAUCGUAAACCUCUGUCAGCAGGGAAGAAAGGUCACUGUGCUAAUCAGCAGUGAAUUGACGGUAACUGCUAAGGAAGACCCGGCUAACUCCGUGCCAGCAGCCGAGGUAAUACGGAGGGUGCGAGCGUUAAUCGGAAUUAUUGGGCGUAAAGCGCUCGUAGGCGGUAUGUCAAGUCAAGGGUGAAAUCCCCGCGCUCAACGUGGGAACUGCCUUGGAAACUGGCAAACUUGAGUGUGUGAGAGGAUAGUGGAAUUCCAGGUGUAGGAGUGAAAUCCGUAGAUAUCUGGAGGAACAUCAGUGGCGAAGGCGACUAUCUGGCACAUAACUGACGCUGAGGAGCGAAAGCGUGGGUAGCGAACAGGAUUAGAUACCCCGGUAGUC
rnacentral:rRNA from 1 species